UCGAGUUUUGAAAUGGGUUGAUGCUGGCCUUGAAUAUAAAAGAGGCAUGUGCUCGCCCUGCUCAUCCACUCUUAACACCUGUGCACCUAUUGUGGGUCUAAUGGGAAUAAGCUGGGGUUGGUUAACGACCUUGGUGGAAGCCUUGACUCAUGUAUUUAUACACCCUAUUGUAUGUCUAGAAUGUCUACUUGUGUAUUUAAAUACGCAUAUAUA
rnacentral:misc_RNA from 1 species